rnacentral:rRNA from 1 species
GAUGAACGCUGGCGGCGUGCCUAAUACAUGCAAGUCGAGCGAACAGACGAGGAGCUUGCUCCUCUGACGUUAGCGGCGGACGGGUGAGUAACACGUGGAUAACCUACCUAUAAGACUGGGAUAACUUCGGGAAACCGGAGCUAAUACCGGAUAAUAUAUUGAACCGCAUGGUUCAAUAGUUAAAGACGUUUUUUCUGUCACUUAUAGAUGGAUCCUCGCCGCAUUAGCUAGUUGGUAAGGUAACGGCUUACCAAGGCAACGAUGCGUAGCCGACCUGAGAGGGUGAUCGGCCACACUGGAACUGAGACAGGGUCCAGACUCCUACGGGAGGCAGCAGUAGGGAAUCUUCCGCAAUGGGCGAAAGCCUGACGGAGCAACGCCGCGUGAGGGAUGAAGGUCUUAGGAUCGUAAAACUCUGUUAUUAGGGAAAAACAAAGGUGUAAGUAACUAUGCACGUCUUGACGGUACCUAAUAAGAAAGCCACGGCUAACUACGUG